rnacentral:rRNA from 1 species
UGACCUCAAAUAGACAGGAUACCCGCUGAACUUAAGCAUAUCAAUAAGCGGAGGA